GAAAUGCCAAUCGAACCUGGAGAUAGCUGGUUCUCUCCGAAAUAGCUUUAGGGCUAGCCUCAAGGUAAGAGUCUCGGAGGUAGAGCACUGAUUGGACUAGGGGCCCCUACCGGGUUACCGAAUUCAGUCAAACUCCGAAUGCCGAUGACUUAUCCUUGGGAGUCAGACUGCGAGUGAUAAGAUCCGUAGUCGAAAGGGAAACAGCCCAGACCGCCAGCUAAGGUCCCAAAGUAUACGUUAAGUGGAAAAGGAUGUGGAGUUGCUUAGACAACCAGGAUGUUGGCUUAGAAGCAGCCACCAUUUA
rnacentral:rRNA from 1 species